rnacentral:rRNA from 1 species
GACGAACCGUCCAAACGUUAUUCGGAAUCACUGGGCUUAAAGGGUGCGUAGGCGGCGCGGAAAGUUGGGUGUGAAAUCCCUCGGCUCAACCGAGGAACUGCGCCCAAAACUACCGUGCUCGAGGGAGAUAGAGGUGAGCGGAACUUAGGGUGGAGCGGUGAAAUGCGUAGAGAUCCGGAGGAACACCGAAGGCGAAGGCAGUGUCCUGGCGAGUAUCCUGACGCUGAGGUGCGAAAGCCAGGGGAGCAAACGGG